rnacentral:rRNA from 1 species
GGUUGUCGUCAGCUCGUGUCGUGAGAUGUUGGUUAAGUCCCGCAACGAGCGCAACCCUCGACCUUAGUUGCCAGCAUUCAGUUGGGCACUCUAAGGUGACUGCCGGCUAAAAGUCGGAGGAAGGUGGGGAUGACGUCAAAUCAUCAUGCCCCUUAUGACCUGGGCUACACACGUGCUACAAUGGGCGGUACAAAGGGUCGCGAACCCGCGAGGGGGAGCCAAUCCCAAAAAGCCGCUCUCAGUUCGGAUUGCAGGCUGCAACUCGCCUGCAUGAAGCCGGAAUCGCUAGUAAUCGCGGAUCAGCAUGCCGCGGUGAAUACGUUCCCGGGCCUU